GAUGAACGCUAGCGGCAGGCUUAACACAUGCAAGUCGAGGGGUAACAUAGUAGCUUGCUACUGAUGACGACCGGCGAACGGGUGCGUAACGCGUAUGCAAUCUGCCUUAUACUGAGGGAUAGCCUUUGGAAACGAAGAUUAAUACCUCAUGGUCUAUUAACAUCGCAUGGUAUUAAUAGUAAAGAUUACGGUAUAAGAUGAGCAUGCGUCCUAUUAGCUAGAUGGUAAGGUAACGGCUUACCAUGGCAACGAUAGGUAGGGGUCCUGAGAGGGAGAUCCCCCACACUGGUACUGAGACACGGACCAGACUCCUACGGGAGGCAGCAGUGAGGAAUAUUGGACAAUGGAGGCAACUCUGAUCCAGCCAUGCCGCGUGAAGGAUGACUGCCCUAUGGGUUGUAAACUUCUUUUAUAUAGGAAGAAACACUUCUACGUGUAGAAGCUUGACGGUACUAUAUGAAUAAGCACCGGCUAACUCCG
rnacentral:rRNA from 1 species